AUUGAACGCUGGCGGCAGGCCUAACACAUGCAAGUCGAGCGGCAGCACGGGUACUUGUACCUGGUGGCGAGCGGCGGACGGAUGAGUAAUGCCUAGGAAUCUGCCUGGUAGUGGGGGAUAACGCUCGGAAACGGACGCUAAUACCGCAUACGUCCUACGGGAGAAAGCAGGGGACCUUCGGGCCUUGCGCUAUCAGAUGAGCCUAGGUCGGAUUAGCUAGUUGGUGAGGUAAUGGCCCACCAAGGCGACGAUCGGUAGCUGGUCUGAGAGGAUGAUCAGCCACACUGGGACUGAGACACGGCCCAGACUCCUACGGGAGGCAGCAGUGGGGAAUUUUGGACAAUGGGGGAAACCCUGAUCCAGCCAUGCCGCGUGCGGGAAGAAGGCCUUCGGGUUGUAAACCGCUUUUGGUCGGAAAGAAAAGACGCACCCUAAUACGGGGCGUUCUUGACGGUACCGGCAGAAUAAGCACCGGCUAACUACGUGC
rnacentral:rRNA from 1 species